CCUACGGGGUGCAGCAGUGGGGAAUAUUGGACAAUGGGCGAAAGCCUGAUCCAGCCAUGCCGCGUGUGUGAAGAAGGCCUUCGGGUUGUAAAGCACUUUCAGUGGGGAAGAAAGCCUUGGGGCUAAUACCCUCGAGGAAGGACAUCACCCACAGAAGAAGCACCGGCUAACUCCGUGCCAGCAGCCGCGGUAAACCGGAGGGUGCGAGCGUUAAUCGGAAUUACUGGGCGUAAAGCGCGCGUAGGCGGUCUGAUAAGCCGGUUGUGAAAGCCCCGGGCUCAACCUGGGAACGGCAUCCGGAACUGUCAGGCUAGAGUGCAGGAGAGGAAGGUAGAAUUCCCGGUGUAGCGGUGAAAUGCGUAGAGAUCGGGAGGAAUACCAGUGGCGAAGGCGGCCUUCUGGACUGACACUGACGCUGAGGUGCGAAAGCGUGGGUAGCAAACAGGAUUAGAUACCCUGGUAGUC
rnacentral:rRNA from 1 species